GUCCACGCUGUAAACGAUGGAUGCUAGCCGUUGGCGGGCUUGCUCGUCAGUGGCGCAGCUAACGCUUUAAGCAUCCCGCCUGGGGAGUACGGUCGCAAGAUUAAAACUCAAAGUAAUUGACGGGGGCCCCGCACAAGCGGUGGAGCAUGUGGUUCAAUUCGAAGCAACGCGAAGAACCUUACCAGCCCUUGACAUCCCGGUCGCGGAGCGCAGAGACGCACUCCUUCAGUUCGGCUGGACCGGAGACAGGUGCUGCAUGGCUGUCGU
rnacentral:rRNA from 1 species